AUUGAACGCUGGCGGCAUGCUUUACACAUGCAAGUCGAACGGUAACAGGCCUUCGGGUGCUGACGGGUGGCGAACGGGUGAGUAAUGCAUCGGAACGUGCCCAGAGGUGGGGGAUAACGCAGCGAAAGCUGUGCUAAUACCGCAUGUGAUCUGAGGAUGAAAGCGGGGGACCAGGCAGCAAUGUUUGGCCUCGCGCCUUUGGAGCGGCCGAUGUCAGAUUAGGUAGUUGGUGGGGUAAAGGCCUACCAAGCCGACGAUCUGUAGCUGGUCUGAGAGGACGACCAGCCACACUGGGACUGAGACACGGCCCAGACUCCUACGGGAGGCAGCAGUGGGGAAUUUUGGAUAAUGGGCGCAAGCCUGAUCCAGCAAUGCCGCGUGCGGGAAGAAGGCCUUCGGGUUGUAAACCGCUUUUGUACGGAACGAAAAGGCUCUGGCUAAUACCUGGGGCUGAUGACGGUACCGUAAGAAUAAGCACCGGCUAACUACGUG
rnacentral:rRNA from 1 species